rnacentral:lncRNA from 1 species
GGUGGUGGUGGUUGCUAUGGAAUCUGUGCACGGCAGGGACUAGAGCAAGACUUCCCAAACUUAUUUUACUGGAAUACCAUUUGUGCAUUAUCUCCAGGUCCAUUUUAAGGAAGAUUGCAGACAUCAUUUUUCCUGGGGGAAAUCACCUGUAAAGAAUCUCUGAAUAAGCUUAAACUUAGUAAUAAAUCUUGAUAGUGUUCCCCCCCCCCCAA